GUGUCAGCAGCCGCGGUAAGACGUAGGGCGCGAGCGUUGUCCGGAUUUAUUGGGCGUAAAGAGCUCGUAGGCGGCUUGUCGCGUCGUUCGUGAAAACCCGGGGCUCAACUCCGGGCUUGCGGGCGAUACGGGCAGGCUAGAGUUCGGUAGGGGAGACUGGAAUUCCUGGUGUAGCGGUGAAAUGCGCAGAUAUCAGGAGGAACACCGGUGGCGAAGGCGGGUCUCUGGGCCGAUACUGACGCUGAGGAGCGAAAGCGUGGGGAGCGAACAGGAUUAGAUACCCUGGUAGUCC
rnacentral:rRNA from 1 species